AAUGUUAGUGGUGAUGACAUUGAUGAUACACUUACAGAGAUAGAAUAUAUGAAGGAGUUCACCCAACAUCUUGAGGAAGCGAACAACUUGGAGUGUAUGAUGGAGAGAUAGCCCAUGAUAUAUUGGUCAUUCCUAUUUCCACAGUUGCAUUCAAGUCCACAUUCAGCAACGGAGGACGUAUAUUGGAUCAUUUUAGGAGUUCAUUAUCUCCAAUGACAGUUGAGGCCUUGAUUUGCACUCAAGACUGGAUAAAGAGCAAUCAAGACUUGAAGCAUGAGAAGAUUAUUGAAAUAUUUGAUAAGCAUGUUAUAGAUGAUUGAAAGUAGAGUUGCAGAAAGCCAGAAACCGGACCAUGCUUGGAUAUGUUUAAUGUUUAUGAACUUUUGCUUAUGAACUUUUUUAAUAUGUUUAUGUCUUUAUGAACUUUUGGGUUUGAACUUUUUUAAUUUUUAAUAUGUUUAUGAAUUUUUGGUUGCUGGUUUGUUUAAAAAUGGUGGUUGAAC